CACACACAGACACACACUCACACAUGCACACACACACACACACAGACACACACAGACACGCACACACACACACCACACGCACACACACACACACACACGCACACACACACACACGCACACACAGACACACACACAGACACACACACACACACACACACACACACGCACACACAGACACACACACACACACACACACACACGCACACACAGACACACACACAGACACACUCACACACACAUAACCUGUCCAAUCAGAGCAAAAGAAAAUAAAAUUGCUCCAUCCGGUAGGUGAUGUUAUAAGCACCAUAAGUUUAUAGAAGAAGAAGGCCUCACCCACCCUCUAGGUAUAAAAAUACUCUGUACUUCGAAGAUCGUGUGUGAGCUUACAACAUGUCUGCUGCUUGUCCUGAUGCACCGAAAAAAACUCACUCUUUUUUGGGAAGAUUACAAAAAAAUUUAGAGCAUGAAAAGAUUCAAUAUUGGGUAAUGUCAAACGGAUGUACAGCCGGAUUUUUUUCAGUGCAGAAAAAGGAACCGUUGUGCUUUUCAAGUUCUCGGUCCCGGGUCACAUCCGCUGGAGCUGCGCUACUGAGAGCGUAACUUUUAACGAGUGUGACUGGAGAAAGUUCAGAAAAUGGUGCAAGGAAUUUGACUACAUUAUUAGAAUGGACUUCUUUUCCCCGGAUGCGUACAGGCGUAAAUGGAGCAGUUCAUCUCUGCAAUGCAAAUACCGCAUCAGAGCAACAAAUUUCUGCAAGAACCAGGUUUCGCUGCACUGUGUUUCGGUAUUAACCGGUGACGACACACACUUUCACAAAGAGAUCAUAAUUAUCGCUGCAUGUUCUUUACCAUAUAGCUUUCCCAUGAAUACCAACCCAACCCACUACACAAGAUGAGGGCGUCGUGACUAUCAGUGCUUACGGCGGAGAUAUUUCAGAUACGAGUGAUGUCGAAAAUUUUGAUGCAGUAGAAGAUCGAGAGGAAAUCAACUCGGAAGCCGACAUUCGACCCGAUCUGGAAUUGCAGGAGAUCUGUACAGCGUGGCGUGGAUUCUUCCAAGCAAAGACUGCUGUAUUGGAAAACUUUGGGCAGCUUGAUAUUACAUUUGAAUCUGGUCGAGGCGCGGAUUUUGUCCCUUUACUGUACAACACACUUGAAAAUUUGAAUAGUUGUCUCACAGUGAACAUAAAGUUGAUCAGAAAAUUGUAUGAGAGAUAUGGCGCAGAAACGACCGAAAUGCAGUUCGGAUACAGUGACUAAAAAAAGAGAACCGAAAAUAAUCCAUCACCGCGUGAUUUCUGUUGUGAUGGAAACCAGAGUUCUUCAAAUGGUCUGUUACAUCGUGAUCCGUACACAACCCUGAACCCAUAUUUAACUGAAGCAAUCAACCGGCUGAAUGAAAGUUUAAUUCCGUCACACCAGGUUGUUAGUGAGAGACCUAAUCAGAGUCCAAAUUCCAAACGCCAAACGAUAUAUUUUCUGAAUGAAAUCAAUGUCUGUUAGAGUUACAUAAUAACCUAAAUGAACACGGUCAUUCAGUACAAUUAAACCCUGAUCUAAUCGAUGCAGUCGACCAGUUGAAUGAAAAUUUAAGAUCGUCAGAACAGAGCAAUACUCAAAAUGAAAACCCCAGCCGAAAACUUAAUCCAAAACCCUGUCAAUAUAACACAAAAUUCGGAAAACGAUAAUGAGUACAACCAUCCUUUGGAAAACAUGCAUAAACUUUCUAAAAGACUUUGACUUUCCUGAGCGUUUAAACCCGCGAGAUGCUCUUUUCGGCGGUCGAACAAACGCGUUACAUUUGCAUUAUGUAGCUCAACCCGGUGAGAGAAUCGAUUAUUUCGAUUUUACCUCUCUUUACCCAUUUGUGAAUAAGACAAAGACAUAUCCGAUCGAUCACCCUAUCAUCAUUUAUCGUGACUUUCAACCUCUGAAAUAUUACUUUGGUAUCGUCAGAGCAAAAGCAUUACCGCCUAGGGGUCUGUGGGCACCUGUUCUACCGUUUCGUGUAAAAAGCAAACUCCUCUUUCCUCUUUGUAGAACGUGCGCCGAACAUCAGCUAAAACAAUGCGAUCAUACGGAUCAGGAGAGAGCUCUUACCGGAACAUGGGCAUCUAUCGAAAUUGAGAAAGCUGUCGAAAAAGGUUACAAAAUUCUAAAAGUGUUUGAAGUGUGGCACGUUCCUGAAAGGUCUGAUGAGCUUUUUACGAGAUAUAUUAAAAUGUUCCAAACAGGAAAGUUCAGGUUAUCCGUCCUGGGUCGAUGAUGAAUCCUCUAAACGUGAGUACAUUCGCAAAUGUAAGGAGAACGAAGGGAUCACGUCGGAUCCGAAAUUUAUCAUCGUUAAUCCUGCCAAAAGAUCCGUGGCUAAACUCGCACUAAACUCGUUGUGGGGUAAGAUGUGUCAAAGACCUGACAGAUCAAACACCACCUUAAUUCGCGAUCCUGCCGAGUUUUUGCAGUUCGUGUUCUCCGAUAUUUAUAAUGUGAGUCAGUUCUCUUUUUUGAACGAGAAGGUGGCGAUGGUGCAGUGGCGUUACGCAGACGAGAGACUGAUUAAACCGCUGAACGCUAAUGUAUUCAUCGGAAUUUUCACUACCGCAUACGCUAGACUUGAGCUGUACAAUUUGAUGGAUCGAUUGGAUCAGCGUUGUUUGUACACAGACACCGAUAGCGUCAUUUUUAAAAGUAAGGAAGGUGACCGGAUGCCACCCUUAAGCGAUUACUUGGGUGGUCUUACCAGCGAACUAGAUGAUGGCGUUCAAAUCGUAGAAUUCGCAAGUGCAGGUCCUAAAACCUACGGUUACAAAACCGUAAAAGGAAAAACAACCAUGAAAGCUAAAGGCAUUACUUUAAAUUGUAUCAAUUCUGAAAUUGUCAGUUUGAAAUCACUGACAGAACUGGUGGACGAGCGAGUGAAAAAUCCGGAUCAAACCGGUCAACUCGUAACCAGGCAUAACCAAAUCGUGAGAGAUAAAAAGGGGUUUCAUUUGAGAAACAAAACACAGAUGAAAAGGUUCAGGGUUGUGUACGAUAAGCGUGUUCUAUUACCCGAUUUUACAACUCUCCCUUACGGCUAUUAAGACUAUUCUUGUAUAUAUGUGUAUAUAGUCUCUGUUGAUGUGUUUUGUAAUGGAAAAUAUGAAUGUGACAGCUUUUGAUGUUAGGAUGCAACUUCCCUUUUCAUGUAUCGUAUGUGGACCGAGUAAUAGCGGAAAAUCUUAUCUUAUCAAAAUGUUGUCGGAAAACUGUAAAGAGGUAAUGUCGGUUGUUCCGGAAAACAUUGUCUGGUGUUAUACGUGUUGGCAACCUCUGUACGAUGAAUUGACGACCAGAAUAAAUAUAAAAUUUCUUCAAGGAAUCCCUGAUUCUUUGUGUGAUGACGAACGAUUUCCGCCCAAUAAAAAAAACUUGUUGGUAAUCGAUGAGUUGAUGGAAUCCGCCAGUAAAAACGAUGAAGUAGAAAAGGCUUUUACAAAAUACACCCACCACAGAAAUCUGAGCGUCAUCUACCUCGUUCAAAACUUGUUUUUUCAAGGCAAGACUAGCAGAACAAUCAACCUGAACACCAACUACAUGGUUCUUUUUAAAAACCCUAGAGAUAAAUUACAGAUCAGCAUACUGGCUCGUCAAAUGUAUCCGGGUAUCAGCAAGUAUUUUUUAGAAUGCUUUCUCGACGCCGUCUCUAGACCUUACGGGUAUUUAUUUGUUGACCUGAAAGCACAAACGCCAGAAGAACUUCGUCUCCGGUCAGGGGUGUUUCUGGGGGAGAAUCCGGUUGUGUAUGUUCCUAAGAAGAAGAAAAAAAUACUUUAAAGUAUCGACAACAAAUGUCUGAUCGAUUGAAAAAAACCCUCCCGCUACUGAAUUCAUUACACAGGUCUCCACCCCGAAGGAGAAAGGGUAUAUUACGUGAUGCGCCCACAGAUCUCAUACUGAGCAUAUGUGAACUAGCUUUAAACGUACUCAGAGGGAACAUACUGCUGACGACAAAACAGUACAGGGUUUUAAAAAAACAAAAAAAAUGGAUCAAACUAUUUGCUGAUAAAAGAGCGUCCGUAGAAAGAAAAAGGAAAGUUAUUAAUCAAUCCGGAGGAUUUCUUCUGCCUUUGCUCAGUGUAGCCAUUCCUUUUAUAAGCAGCUUAAUCGCAUCCCGCAACAAUUAACAUGGAGACUGCAGAGAAAAUGUAUUUAGUCCCUCAACAUCAGAUCGAUAAUCUUAGAAACAUCACAGCAGAGAAGGAAAGCUUAAGAAAGACUGUCGAAAACAACUUGGACGAUGCAAUACGAGGUAUUUUACCGAGGACUGAUCUGAACGAUUACGAUAAGGCGAAACUCUACGCGUCGGUGCUGCAAAUUUUUAUAACCUUGGUUAAAGUAGGAGAGCAGGAGACCGCUCAGUUGACCCUGUCCCUACCUAAAAUACCGGAAAGCAAAACGGAAGCAGCGGUGACCGAACCACCCAAAGACGAGAUCGUACAAGAGGUGCUCGCUAACAUUUCUGCGAGAAACAAAAGAAACGCUUCGUACGUUAUGGAAAAACUUUUAAAAGCCGGU